GUGAGGAAUAUUGGUCAAUGGACGUAAGUCUGAACCAGCCAAGUCGCGUGAGGGAAGACUGCCCUAUGGGUUGUAAACCUCUUUUAUAAGGGAAGAAUAAGUUCUACGUGUAGAAUGAUGCCUGUACCUUAUGAAUAAGCAUCGGCUAACUCCGUGCCAGCAGCCGCGGUAAUACGGAGGAUGCGAGCGUUAUCCGGAUUUAUUGGGUUUAAAGGGUGCGUAGGCGGUUUAUUAAGUUAGUGGUUAAAUAUUUGAGCUAAACUCAAUUGUGCCAUUAAUACUGGUAAACUGGAGUACAGACGAGGUAGGCGGAAUAAGUUAAGUAGCGGUGAAAUGCAUAGAUAUAACUUAGAACUCCGAUAGCGAAGGCAGCUUACCAGACUGUAACUGACGCUGAUGCACGAGAGCGUGGGUAGCGAACAGGAUUAGAAACCCCAGUAGUCC
rnacentral:rRNA from 1 species